rnacentral:rRNA from 1 species
AGAGUUUGAUCAUGGCUCAGAACGAACGCUGGCGGCAGGCCUCAAACAUGCAAGUCUAGGGGGGUAGCAAUACCCACCGGCGGACGGGUGCGUAACACGUGGGAAUAUACCUUUUGGUUCGGAACAACUGAGGGAAACUUCAGCUAAUACCGAAUGUGUCCUUACGGAGAAAGAUUUAUCGCCAAAGGAUUAGCCCGCGUUCGAUUAGCUAGUUGGUAGGGUAACGGCCUACCAAGGCGACGAUCGAUAGCUGUUCUGAGAGGAAGAUCAGCCACACUGGGACUGAGACACGGCCCAGACUCCUACGGGAGGCAGCAGUUGGGAAUCUUGGACAAUGGGGGAAACCCUGAUCCAGCCAUGCCGCGUGAGUGAUGAAGGCCUUCGGGUUGUAAAACUCUUUCGACGGGGACGAUAAUGACGGUACCCGUAGAAGAAGCUCCGGCUAACUUCGUGCCAGCAGCCGCGGUAAUACGAAGGGGGCUAGCGUUGUUCGGAAUUACUGGGCGUAAAGCGCGCGCAGGCGGUUUUCCAAGUCAGUGGUGAAAGCCCGGAGCUCGACUCCGGAACUGCCAUUGAAACUGUUAAACUUGAGGACGAGAGAGGUGAGUGGAAUUCCCAGUGUAGAGGUGAAAUUCGUAGAUAUUGGGAAGAACACCGGUGGCGAAGGCGGCUCACUGGCUCGUUUCUGACGCUCAGGCGCGACAGCGUGGGGAUCAAACAGGAUUAGAUACCCUAGUAGUCC